GAAAAGUGCGUUUUCUUUCCCAGCAGCUUCCGCCGGCGCAGGUUCAGCGCGGCGGGCUGGCAGAGGAUGGUUGGUUUCACCCUGCAGGCAGCCCACACUUGGACGACCACAUUUGGUGGCCUGUAUGGGGAACUUCUCCCAGGGGAAGAUCUCUUCCCCCACUUCCUCUCCGCACUCCUUGGGACCUGUGAACAGGCAGGUGGCUGUGGAAGCAACAGAGAAACUGCGGCUGGGGCCAUAUCCAGCCUGGACUGACUCCAAAGAAUCUCGCCACCUCUAGAUCAUCCUGAAAACUUCUUCCUGUCCCUGAGGAUCUUCUAACAUUUUUCUCUUCUAGGAUACAACCAAUAAGCCUCCAAAUGGUAAUGCAACAAGAAUAUCGGCCAGCCAACACCCGGACAACACUUGAAAAAGUUGCCAUCAGGUUCCAUGGAGCCCCCACCCCUCCCUAGGUGUACCCUACAGAGAGCAGAUCCAGGUUUGACCCCCAGCUGGGGCCCCAAGACUCUGGAAGCUGCACAGCAUGGAGAAAAAGGAGGUAGAAAGAGAGCAGAGGAAAAAAAAAGGAAGAAAAAAGGGAAGAAGGGGAAAGGACAUUCAGAUUCCCAAGACUGGUGGUGAAAGCAACUCUGAUCAGCCAAAAUCACACAAGAAGAUGUGCACACUUGCACUUGCAAAGAGAGAGGAAAAGAAACCAAAGAGAAGAAAGAAAGAGAGAGCAAAGAAAAGAAAGAAGGGAGUAUUCAUACCAAUUACAAACAAAUCCACAUACAAAUAUAUACAAUAAAGAUUAAACUAACAAAUACCUAAGACCAGAAACAAGACAAACAUACCAAGAAGUCCUCCAAUACUUUUAGAUAGGGCUCUGCACCUGCUGUGGAGAGGACUGUGGAGAACUCAGAUUGUGAUAUGGUAUUAGUCCUGUGUGUAAUUGUCCCCACAGCCCCCAGUUGUCCCCUAUGUCUACAGUCUCUAUUGUAGAAACACUUGUCUAUUCAGGUGAUCCAUAUAUGCAGGGUCUAUCAAGCCUAUUGUGGGUAUUAAAUCUGCUCCUCCUGCAGCUGUUUCUCUUUCUCUUCUUUGGUCCUGCAGUCCUCAGGGAUCAGUUUUGGUUUUGGUCCCUUCUGUGUAUGUGGCUUGCUCUCAGGAGUCAGUUCCCUGCCCAGGCAAGAGGGGGUGAAAGAGGGUGAUUGGGGCUCACUUGCAACUUCAGGUCGGGGGGAGGGAGGGAUAUGGCAUUCUAAUUGAAAUCUGUGGGAGUACUUGUAGCAGCAGAGGUCAGUGUUAGCCUGAGGUGUGCUGUGCAUUCUCCCAGGGAAGUUGGUCCUGAACAUGGGACUCUGUGUUGGUGGACUUCACCUGCUGCUGGGAGGGUGUGGCCAAUGACUUGCCUUACACACAGGACCCUUGGUGGCAGCAGGUGGGCAGGCAGUGGGGCUCAGUGGCAGGUAGGGCAGGCUGUUGUUGGGCUUAGUGGUGUGUGGCAGGGUGGGGGUGCAGGGCCUGGCAGGUGGGCUUUUCGAUCUAGCAGCUGCGGGUCAUGCAGCUUUGCAGCUUAUGAGUUCGCGGAGAGGGAAUUUCCUCCCGAGCACUCUGAAACAAAAGUUCCCUGCCUCUGCAUCUGGCCCAGGAAUUUCCCCAAACUCCUUUCUAGCUUGCUGGUGCAGCUGCCCCCAGGCUGUUCUCAUGCAGCCAGCCCCAGAUCUCUCCCUGGUGUCUGUUCUCGGAAGCCCAAGCCUCUGCACCUGGUCCCAACCACUGUCUCAGGAGAGUAGCUUAGCUUCUCUGGCUGGGGAGUGCUGCCUGAAUCCUCCUUGAGGGUAUCUCUCUGUUCUUCCCUCCACACACCUGCCAUUGCUCUCUCUUCUUGGGGCUCCGAGGCUCCUCCCUCCCCCAUCCUUCCCCACCAGUGAGGGGGCUCCCCAGUGUGUGGUAGCCUUCCCCCCCUUCACAGCUCCCUCCCAGAGGAGCCGGUCUCCUCAGGAUUCUUUGUCUCUCUUUUUCCCUUCUUUCCUUUGUGCUACCCAAUUACAUGGAAAUUCUCUUUCUUGCCUUUUUGGCAGUCUGAGGUCUCCUGCUGGCAUUCAGAAAGUGUUCUGCAGGAGCCACUCCACAAGUAGAUGUAUUUUUGAUAUAUUUGUGGGGAGGAAGGUGAUCUCCACAUCCUACUCCUCUGCCGUCUUUUUCAAGGUCCUCCAAGAAUAUAUACUCUUAAAAAUUGAGGUAGAAUUCAAAUAUCAUAAAAUCUACAAUUUAAAAAUGUACAAUUCAGUGAUUUUUAGUGUCUUCACAAGGUUAUGUAACCAUCACAGUUAUCUAAUUCCAGAACGUUUUCAUCACUCCAAAACAAAACCCUAUACCCAUUAGCAUUUAUUCCCCAUCCUUCCCCACCCAGUUCCUAGCAACACUAUCUACUUAGAAAGUAGAUUCUUGUGCAUUUGCCUAUUCUGGACAUCCAUAUAUAAAUGUAUGGAAUCAUAAAAUAUGUUGCCUUUUGUGUCUGGAUUUUUUUUAAUAAAUAAAUUUAUUUAUUUAUUGUCUGCAUUGGGUCUUCAUUGCUGUGUGUGGGCUUUCUCUAGUUGUAGCAAGUGGGGGCGAUUCUUUGUUGUGGUGCACAGACUUCUGAGUGUAUUGGCUUCUCUUGUGAAGCACA